rnacentral:tRNA from 4 species
GCGAGCGUAGUUCAAUGGUAAAACAUCUCCUUGCCAAGGAGAAGGUGCGGGUUCGAUUCCCGUCGCUCGCC